AUUGAACGCUGGCGGCAUGCUUUACACAUGCAAGUCGGACGGCAGCGGGGUAGUGCUUGCACUACUGCCGGCGAGUGGCGAACGGGUGAGUAAUAUAUUGGAACGUACCGAGUAAUGGGGGAUAACCAAUCGAAAGAUUGGCUAAUACCGCAUACGCUCUGAGGAGGAAAGCAGGGGACCUUCGGGCCUUGCGUUAUUCGAGCGGCCAAUAUCUGAUUAGCUAGUUGGUGGGGUAAAGGCCUACCAAGGCGACGAUCAGUAGCGGGUCUGAGAGGAUGAUCCGCCACACUGGGACUGAGACACGGCCCAGACUCCUACGGGAGGCAGCAGUGGGGAAUUUUGGACAAUGGGCGCAAGCCUGAUCCAGCCAUGCCGCGUGUCUGAAGAAGGCCUUCGGGUUGUAAAGGACUUUUGUUAGGGAAGAAAAAGGAGCGGUUAAUACCCGUUUCUGCAGACGUACCUAAAGAAUAAGCACC
rnacentral:rRNA from 1 species